GCCCCCAUAGUUAAAUGGAUAUAACAAGCCCCUCCUAAGGGCUAGUUAUGAGUUCGAUUCUCGUUGGGGGUGCCA
rnacentral:tRNA from 1 species